rnacentral:lncRNA from 1 species
GUCUGUGUUGUAGACCUGCAGCGAGAGGGGUUAGCCACCAAAGCCGCCUGCUCUUUAAGUGAGGCUUUCUAACACAUUGUUCCGCCCCAGGCUGGGUUUCCUUCAUUCAGGAAGCCCUUGGGCUAUCCCAGGCUUCUGGGUUAUUUCUAGUUUCUGACACCUGCAAGAAAAAAACCAAACCAAAACAAAACUCAAACCAAAAAACCGUUGUCUUCUCCCCCCCAAAAAAUGUAUGUUUAUUUAACUAGGUUUCUUUUCUGCUUCCCAAUCUGGAUUCCAUUCAGUCAGUUACCACUCCAAUUAACUAACAAUUAUUUAACAUUAACAGUAAUUACAGACGCCAGUUAAGCGCCUACAGAUGUCAACUGUUAGCUUUGUACCUAAUCACUCAAUGAAACGGAGAAAGUUCAACAAACAUCAAUUAGCCCAGCAAUUAGUAUGAGUUAGCAAAGAGUGCGUUAUCAUGUGUGUGCCGAUUCCAUUUAUUUUAUUUUGGCAGUAAAAAUACACACUCACAGGCUCCGCGUGCACACACACACAUACACUCACAUGUACGCAGGCACUCACACACACACACCGGAAUACAGUGGGUCCCUCAGAUAAGAUAAAACUAUUGUUUUAUGGCUUACCUUAGACCCUUGCCUUGCCUGGGCAAGAGUCAGAGCACUCUUGCCCGGAAUUUAUUUAGCAAACAGAAUUGGGCUCGAUGACUC